UACGAGGGGGGCGAGCGUUGUUCGGAAUCACUGGGCGUAAAGCGUGCGUAGGCGGUUAUGAAAGUUAGGAGUGAAAGCCCCAGGCUCAACUUGGGAAUUGCUUUUAAUACUACAUGACUAGAAUUCGGGAGAGGAUAGCGGAAUUGUCAGUGUAGCAGUGAAAUGCGUAGAUAUUGACAGGAACACCGGUGGCGCAUGAGCGCUAUCUGGACCAGACAUUGACGCUGAGGCACGAAAGCGUGGGGAUCAAACAGG
rnacentral:rRNA from 1 species